AGUGAACGCUGGCGGUAGGCCUAACGCAUGCAAGUCGAACGGCAGCACAGUAAGAGCUUGCUCUUACGGGUGGCGAGUGGCGGACGGGUGAGGAAUACAUCGGAAUCUACUUUUUCGUGGGGGAUAACGUAGGGAAACUUACGCUAAUACCGCAUACGACCUACGGGUGAAAGCAGGGGAUCUUCGGACCUUGCGCGAUUGAAUGAGCCGAUGUCGGAUUAGCUAGUUGGCGGGGUAAAGGCCCACCAAGGCGACGAUCCGUAGCUGGUCUGAGAGGAUGAUCAGCCACACUGGAACUGAGACACGGUCCAGACUCCUACGGGAGGCAGCAGUGGGGAAUAUUGGACAAUGGGCGCAAGCCUGAUCCAGCCAUACCGCGUGGGUGAAGAAGGCCUUCGGGUUGUAAAGCCCUUUUGUUGGGAAAGAAAAGCAGCAGGUUAAUACCCCGCUGUUCUGACGGUACCCAAAGAAUAAGCACCGGCUAACGUCGUG
rnacentral:rRNA from 1 species